GGCAGGAGAAUCGCUUGAACCUGGGAGGAGGAGGUUGCAGUGAGCCGAGAGCAUGUCACUGCACUCCAGCCUGGGCAACAAAGCGAGACUGUGUCUCAAAGAAAAAAGAAAAAAAGACAUGAUUUGAGGGUCUGUUUUAAAAUUCUCUUUACUUAUGUACAUAUCAGAAAGUUUCCAAAGGUAUUUUUUUUAUACAAGAAAAAUGUAGUUUUUAGGGAUUUUAGAGCCAGUAUAACUCCUGCAAGCAAACAUUUUAUUUAAACACUACUAAUAUGGCAUUUAUGAUAGUUCAGUAAGACUAAGCUGAAAUUUUCCUCACCACUAUCUUUGGAAAGGAGACAUAACACUUAUUUCCAAAUUCAUGCUUUGAACAUACUUGUACAGAUAACAAGACGACAUAUUUUAUGCCUUUUAGAUGCACUCACCUAUUUUUGGGCCCUAGGCUGGAAGUCAUUCUACUUAUACCUCAAUGAAGGAAUGCACUGCUAACUGGUACGAAGUCACAGUGUAUAGCUGAAUCUAACACGAAGGCAUUCCUUUGGCAGGAGUCAAAAUCUCAGACUUUUUAUUAAUUCAUGCAGACUUCUUUGUCAAUCUAAGUUAUUAAGAUUUUCUAUAUUGUUAAAUGGACUUUUUUUUGCUAAUUUGAAAAAAAGUUGAUGAUUUUGUUUCAAAUACGUCAGUGUCGUGGGAAACCUUUAAUCAGGGUGUGAUAAUAGCUCCCUGUGUGUUUCCAGCCAAGUCCAUCUACCUCAAGCUUGAGUUCUACUCACUCGGCUUCACCUAAUGUGACAAGUUCUGCUCCAUCGAGUGCCAGAGGUCAGUGCCAGAGUGUGGGGAAGACUGAGGGUGCCCAGAGAACCUUCUAGUCCUGGGAACUGUGGCCAGCUGCCACACGUUCAGGCUCUCACCUCCAAACAGGUGCAGCACCACUACCAUGCUGAUGAUCCUCUCUCUCCUUCUCUUCCCAGCUUCUCCUUUGUUGUCUGACAAACACAAACAUUCCCGAGAAAACUCUUGCCUGUCCCCAAGAGAGAGACCAUGCAGUGCCAUCUAUCCAACACCUGUGGAGCCUUCGCAGAGGAUGCUGUUUAAUCAUAUUGGAGAUGGGGCCUUGCCACGCAGUGACCCAAAUCUCUCUGCACCUGAAAAAGCUGUGAACCCCACCCCUAGCAGCUGGAGCCUGGACAGUGGGAAGGAAGCCAAGAACAUGUCGGAUAGUGGGAAACUUAUCUCUCCCCCUGUCCCUCCAAGACCCACACAGACUGCUUCACCAGCAAGACACACGACAUCAGUAUCCCCCUCGCCUGCCGGGCGAUCUCCAUUGAAGGGCUCUGUGCAGUCUUUCACCCCCUCUCCAGUGGAGUACCACUCGCCAGGACUCAUCUCCAACUCCCCUGUCUUGUCGGGCAGCUACAGCAGUGGGAUUUCUUCUCUCAGCCGGUGCAGCACGUCGGAAACCUCAGGCUUUGAAAAUCAGGUGAAUGAACAGUCGGCCCCCCUGCCGGUGCCCGUGCCGGUGCCGGUGCCCGUGCCGAGCUACGGCGGGGAGGAGCCAGUGCGCAAGGAGAGCAAGACUCCGCCCCCGUACAGCGUCUACGAGCGGACUCUGCGGCGCCCCGUCCCGCUACCUCACAGCCUCUCCAUCCCCGUCACGUCGGAGCCGCCCGCGCUGCCCCCCAAACCUCUGGCAGCGCGAUCCAGCCACCUGGAGAAUGGGGCCCGGAGGACUGACCCCGGCCCGCGGCCCAGGCCCCUGCCCCGCAAGGUCUCUCAGUUAUAAGUCACUUUUCUAUGUACCUGCGAUGCAUUCUUUGCCCGUUUACAAAAUAAGACGUAUGAUGAGAAGACAUUUAGUGUAGGCACUUUAAUAACUUACUCAGCUCCUUCGAUGAAUGGAAUUAAAACUUGCUUAUUAAAUAUCAUGUUGCACAAUAUUAAAAGUUGCUGAUCUAAAACGCCAGAUGUUAAAUGAAGUAUGGCUGAAUUUCAUUAAAACGUUUCUCAUUUGAAAGUGGUAAAUAGUGAUAAAGACUCCUUUUGUACCUUUUUAUGUUCACUUUUUUUUAUAUAGUUUAAUCUUAAAACCAAUACGAUAUUGUCAAACAAUACAAUGUGUGACAAUGUUGUAUCGUUUUUACUGAAUACUUGAUACUUGGAGAAAGCUUAUUAAGUCAGUGCACAUCCUAACACAGUGGUCCUUAUUUUAGAAGACUUCUGUAAAUAAAUAAGGCAAGGUUUAUCAGUGCAGAUCAUCAGAAUUAAAGUUCAAGCAGGCGAGCAAGACAGUAUACUUAAGGGGUUGCAAAGCUUGGGACUGGAAAUUGUUUUGUUCUUGAAACAAAAUACUUCUUUAAGGUUGCUUUUGCUGUUUGACUGCUGUCUACAUUCGUAAAAUUCUAUUUUGUGAAUUGGUUGCUAAAUCCCUUACUACCCUGACACCAUGGUAUCUACUGUAUUUCUUUUCAAGGUGCAAUUUGCUUCAGAGUUCCAAUCAGCUAGAUUAAGCAAGAGGCUCCAGAAGAAAUGUUUACUUGAAUUUUGCGCUUCCUUUCUUGAUAGUUUCCUAUAUAAAAUUUGUCAUUGAACAAGAGCAAAUGCUGAAGUAUUAAUGAGGCACAAAUGACUGUGCCCCAUUAGCAAGAAUUCAGGAAUCAAUACAGACAGUAUUAAAUUAAUAGCUUAAGUGAAGAAAAAAAAAAACUUAGUGAAAAUGUAUUAGCACGAUUAAAUGGCAAAAGGACUUAUAAAAGGCAAGGGCAUUAACUUUCAGUCCUGCACAAAAUAAAAAAUUCCUCACGACUCUCCACUUUUACCAGUGGAGUUUGUCUUAGCUGACCUGUCGUCUUUCUCUUGAAGGAGGAUUGCUGUAGACUUCUCUAGCUUGAAUAUUGCAACAUAGCAUCUUAGGUCUAGAUAGGGAUGCUAAUGCCAGUUGUAGAAGUGUGAAAAAAGCACCUUGUAUGUAGUAAUGUAUUUUAUAUCUUUGUUUUUUCUUUUACUGACUGUUUAUAACACUCAAUUGACAAUAGAUAUGAACUGUAUUUUAAAUCAUACUGUUAAAUAUUUUCCCUCUUUUGUUGGGAAGCUCAUUUUAGUUUAACCAUGUUUGUUUUGUUGGUAGCUUACCUGGAAGGCAGUGACCACUUUUUUAUAUUCUCUUAAUGAAACCAUUCAGCAGGUAUAUGCUGUUGAGGCUGGUUAUAGAGGUUUUCUAUAAUAAAUGUUCAAGUAUUUUUGUAUAUAACUGGUUAAUUUUAAUAAGAGAUACCAUUAUGUGUAAAAAAAAAAAAGUAAAAAUAAACGCAAACAGUUGUUG
rnacentral:sRNA from 1 species